CUACGGGGUGCUCCAGUGGGGAAUAUUGGGCAAUGGGCGAAAGCCUGACCCAGCAACGCCGCGUGAUUGAAGAAGGCUUUCGGGUUGUAAAAAUCUGUCCUCGGGGACGAAGAAGUGACGGUACCCAAGGAGGAAGCCCCGGCUAACUACGUGCCAGCAGCCGCGGUAAUACGUAGGGGGCGAGCGUUGUCCGGAAUUACUGGGCGUAAAGGGUGCGCAGGCGGCGCUUUAAGUCAGAUGUGAAAUACCCAGGCUUAACCUGGGGGGUGCAUUUGAAACUGGAGCGCUUGAGUGCAGGAGAGGAAAGUGGAAUUCCUAGUGUAGCGGUGAAAUGCGUAGAUAUUAGGAGGAACACCAGUGGCGAAGGCGACUUUCUGGACUGUAACUGACGCUGAGGCACGAAAGCGUGGGGAGCAAACAGGAUUAGAUACCCGCGUAGUC
rnacentral:rRNA from 1 species